AUCACCUCCUUUCUAAGGAGCACCAUUUCCCAGUCGAAUGAACUAGGGAACAUAAAGUAGGCAUCUGUAGUGGAUAUCUACUUGGUGAAUAUGUUUUGUAAAUCCUGUCCACCCCGUGGAUGGGUAGUCGGCAAAACGUCGGACUGUCAUAAGAAUUGAAACGCUGGCACACUGUUGGGUCCUGAGGCAACACGUUGUGUUGUCACCCUGCUUGGUGGUGGGGUGUGGACUUUGACUUCUGAAUAGUGGUUGCGAGCAUCUAAACAUAGCCUCGCUCGUUUUCGAGUGGGGCUUGUUUUUGCAAUUUUAUUAGCUAAGUUCUUAAGGGCGCAUGGUGGAUGCCUUGGCGA
rnacentral:misc_RNA from 1 species